GCAGUUAACCACUGAAAUAGGUUGCCCAAAGAGAAUGAAUUUCCUUCCUUGGCAAUUCUCAAGACUCACCUGGAUGACCUCCAGAAGGCCUUUCCAACCGGGUUUUCUGUGAUUCCAUGCAAGGCACACAGUAUUUGUAUUUUUCUGUGAUUUCUGCACCAGGACACAUCAUAGGUUAUAUUCUCCACUGAAAUAGUAGGGAGAUGACUAGGCCCCGUCCUGAGGCUUGAAUAACAGAACACACCAUGAGAAAAUACCGAACAUAACAAGAGAAACUGCCAAACAUAACAAAAAGCAGAGCGAGCAGCUGACAGACAUUACAGUGUAACACCAUGAGAAAUGGCUGGAUUUCACAGUCCGUUAUGGAGAACUAUGUGAGAGAUGGACAAGUGCCACAGCCUGUGCUUGUGUGGAGAGGUCCAAGUGUCAGCAACCAGAGAAGGGGCUGUGGGUCAUAAGGGCCCAUAGUACCAACAACUGGACAGCAAGCUAUGCAGACAUUGCCUAGCUAAUUCAGCCCUGUGUGCAUGAGUGUGCCUGCACGUGUGUACGUGCAAUUCACUUCAAGCUGGACUAGCUGGCAAGCAGAAGACCCACAUCUGGAAAGACUUAAGGUCUGAGCCGAAGACUAGGGAACUCUUCCAGAAGGAGAAUAUCUACACUUGAGAUCUCCGGUCUGGUUCCACAGUUGGGAGGAAUAUAUCUGCAUGUAUAGACUGCUGUUCUUGUUUGAAUUAAUGCCUCCGGAAGGCUUAAUAGGAAUAUGCUUCUUUCAGAGACUGGACCUAGCAUGGCUUCAUAAGACCACAGACCCUUGAUCCCUACAUGGACUCUGUUCCCUACAGAUGACAGUGCAGACAGCCCAGUGCCUUGGGAGCCUCUCCAGCUCAUAACAAACGUUGAGGAGAGGCACGUGCUUUAAGCCCUGCUCUCAAAGUUUGUCAUGACUUCACCCAGGUUGGAGAAAAACAUCUAACCUGCAGUCAAGAUUCAUAACUUUGAAUUGCCUCUGGCCAGCUUUACUUAGGAAAUACAAAACUACCUCUGGGGUGCAUAGGACCUACUCUGGCUUCUGUUGUCUUCUUGAGAAAAUCUGAACACCCUGCCAAACCAAUACUGUACUGUCAGGAUACCAGCUACUCCAAGAGCAAGGGAGUUUACAGCCCCUUCUGAUAGCAGUGCUCCACUUCACACUGAAGUGGAAGCUGAUGAACCGGUGAACUGAACAGUCAUCAGUUGAGAAAGAGACUGAGUUUGGCCAGGGUUGUGGUUAAAGCACUCUGCUGUGAUAAAGGACAUGCAAGGAUUUGUAACAGAAAUAUACAGAUUGAGAUGAUGGCAUGGACAGAAAUGGAUUUAUGUGAAAGCACCACAACAAACACUAGAGCACGGGUUGGAAGAAUGACAGGCAUCAAUAGCCAAUGACUUAUGUGACAGCAAUGAAAUCAGUAGCAACAAAGGAAGGCACUGCUUGCACCAAGACAACAGUACAAUUGACUCAUCAUCGGAAGACCUGCACUCUGACAGCAGGAGGAUGGCAGCACAGUUAUAGCACAUGGGUUGUGCCUUUCCUCAUCCCGGUAUUCCAACAGGAAAACACACUGCCCCCACAAGGCACCCAAAAUGAGGAAAUAAAAGAAAAUGGGCAGCUGCCUUGCCUAACAUUUUUUGGAUGUUAUCGUAAGCAGGCUCCUGAGGCAAAAGAUUAUGCUUCAAUAACUGGGUGACUCCUGACAGGUACAAAAUAACUGCCCCAAAGCAGUUAAUUGUCAAAAUUGCAAAGAGAUUCAGAAGACAUAGCGAGGACUCAAUAGCCGGCACCUCUCAUCCUCCAUGUUAUGCACAAGUGACCCAUCCCAAACUACUAAUACAUGUCUUGAUGUUUGCAUGAGUAAAACUGAGGAAAGAAUGAUUGGACGAGAGGAGAUUAAGUUUUGUUUAAAAUAAGUAUCACCUUCCCUUCUCAUAA